rnacentral:rRNA from 1 species
ACGGCGAGUGAAGCGGUAACAGCUCAAAUUUGAAAGCUAGCUCUUUUAGGGUUCGCAUUGUAAUUUGUAGAAGAUGCUUCGGGUGUGGCCCCGGUCUAAGUUCCUUGGAACAGGACGUCAUAGAGGGUGAGAAUCCCGUAUGUGACUGGGUGCUUUCGCUCAUGUGAAGCUCUUUCGACGAGUCGAGUUGUUUGGGAAUGCAGCUCAAAAUGGGUGGUAAAUUUCAUCUAAAGCUAAAUAUUGGCCAGAGACCGAUAGCGCACAAGUAGAGUGAUCGAAAGAUGAAAAGCACUUUGGAAAGAGAGUUAAACAGUACGUGAAAUUGUUGAAAGGGAAGCGCUUGCAACCAGACUUGCACACGGACGAUCACCCGGGCUUCUGUCCGGGGCACUCGUCCGUGCUCAGGCCAGCAUCGGUUUCAGUGGUGGGAUAAAGGCCUUGGGAAUGUAGCUCCUCUCGGGGAGUGUUAUAGCCCUCGGUGCAAUGCCGCCUACCGGGACCGAGGACCGCGCUUCGGCUAGGAUGCUGGCGUAAUGGUUGUAAGCGACCCGUCUUGAAACACGGACCAAGGAGUCUAACAUCUAUGCGAGUGUUUGGGUGUCAAACCCAUACGCGUAAUGAAAGUGAACGGAGGUGAGAACCCUUAAGGGUGCAUCAUCGACCGAUCCUGAUGUCUUCGGAUGGAUUUGAGUAAGAGCAUAGCUGUUGGGACCCGAAAGAUGGUGAACUAUGCGUGAAUAGGGUGAAGCCAGAGGAAACUCUGGUGGAAGCUCGCAGCGGUUCUGACGUGCAAAUCGAUCGUCAAAUUUGCGUAUAGGGGCGAAAGACUAAUCGAACCAUCUAGUAGCUGGUUCUGCCA